GACGAACGCUGGCGGCGUGCUUAACACAUGCAAGUCGAACGGUGAAGCGCCUUCCUUUUUGGUGGGUGUGGAUGAGUGGCGAACGGGUGAGUAACACGUGAGUAACCUGCCCCCUUCUUCUGGAUAACCGCAUGAAAGUGUGGCUAAUACGGGAUAUUCUGGGUCUGUCGCAUGAUGGGUCUGGGAAAGAUAUUGUUUCGGUGGGGGAUGGGCUCGCGGCCUAUCAGCUUGUUGGUGGGGUGAUGGCCUACCAAGGCGGUGACGGGUAGCCGGCCUGAGAGGGUGGACGGUCACACUGGGACUGAGACACGGCCCAGACUCCUACGGGAGGCAGCAGUGGGGAAUAUUGCACAAUGGGCGCAGGCCUGAUGCAGCGACGCCGCGUGAGGGAUGGAGGCCUUCGGGUUGUGAACCUCUUUCGCCAGUGAAGCAGGCCUGCCUCGUUUGUGGGUGGGUUGACGGUAGCUGGAGAAGAAGCGCCGGCUAACUACGUG
rnacentral:rRNA from 1 species